AUCCUAUCUUGUUCGCAAUGGCACUGCAUGAAUUCACGGAUGCAUUGCGACAGACCGCGGAUCAUGCGGUACCAUAGCGGACAGUGGUGAGAUAUUG
rnacentral:pre_miRNA from 14 species